UACAGAGGGUGCAAGCGUUAAUCGGAAUUACUGGGCGUAAAGCGCGCGUAGGCGGUUUCGUAAGUUGGAUGUGAAAUCCCCGGGCUCAACCUGGGAAUUGCAUUCAAAACUGCGAGGCUAGAGUGUGGGAGAGGAUGGUAGAAUUCCAGGUGUAGCGGUGAAAUGCGUAGAGAUCUGGAGGAAUACCGAUGGCGAAGGCAGCCAUCUGGCCUAACACUGACGCUGAGGUGCGAAAGCAUGGGGAGCAAACAGGAUUAGAUACCCUGGUAGUCCAUGCCGUAAACGAUGUCUACUAGCCGUUGGGGGACUUGAUCCUUUAGUGGCGCAGCUAACGCAUUAAGUAGACCGCCUGGGGAGUACGGUCGCAAGACUAAA
rnacentral:rRNA from 1 species